CCUACGGGAGGCAGCAGUGAGGAAUAUUGCACAAUGGGGGAAACCCUGAUGCAGCAACGCCGCGUGGAGGAUGAAGGUUUUCGGAUUGUAAAGCCCUAUCGUCAGAGAAGAUAAUGACGGUAUCUAACGAAUAAGCCCCGGCUAACUCCGUGCCAGCAGCCGCGGUAAUACGGAGGGUGCAAGCGUUACCCGGAUUUACUGGGUGUAAAGGGAGCGUAGGCGGGAGAGCAAGUCUGAAGUGAAAUGCUAUGGCUUAACCAUAGAACUGCUUUUGAAACUGUUAGUCUAGAGUGUAGGAGAGGUAAGUGGAAUUCUUGGUGUAGGGGUGAAAUGCGUAGAGAUCAGGAGGAAUACUCGUGGCGAAGGCGACCUGCUGGAACAUAACUGACGCUGAUGCGCGAAAGCGUGGGGAGCAAACAGGAUUAGAUACCCGUGUAGUC
rnacentral:rRNA from 1 species